rnacentral:tRNA from 1 species
GGAGCUGUGGCUCAGUGGUAGAGUGCUCUCCUGGCAUGUGUGAGGCACUGGGUUUGAUCCUCAGCACCA